AUGGUGGCUGGGACCCUGUACACAUACCCUGAAAACUGGAGGGCUUCAAGGCCCUCAUUGCUGCUCAGUACAGCGGGGCUCAGGUUGGCGUGCUCUCUGCACCCCACUUCCAAUUUGGCCAAAACAACUGCACCCCUGGAUUUCUGUCAAUUUCCUGCUGGCAAGCUUCCAGCAUUUGAAGGUGACAGCAGAUUGUGCGUGUUCAAGAGCAAUGCCAUUGCCUCCUACAUGAGACCUGAGGAGCUUCUGGGACGUACUCCAGAGGCAGCAGUUGAAAUGGUACAGUGGGUGAGCUUUGCUGGUAGGGACAUAGUGCUCCCAGCCAUCACUGGCGUUCCCCGCCUUGGCCAUCAUGCACCAUAACAAGUAGGCCACAGAGAAGGUAAAGGAGGAGGUGAGGCGAAUUCUGGGGCUGCUGGGUGCUCACCUGAAGGUGGGAGAAGGACUUUUCUGGUGGGUGAGCCUAUGACACUGGCUGGCAUCAUGGUUGUCUGCAUCCUGCUGUGGCUCUAUAAACAGGUCCUGGAGCCUUCUUUCCCCCAGGGUCCCCCAGUACCAGCCGCUGGUUCCUCACCUGCAUUAAUGGGUCCCAGUCCCAGGCUGUCCUGGGGGAGGCGAAAGUCUGUGAGGAGAUGCCAAAACAUUUGCAGAGGGCAGCCUAAAAUGGACAACACACAGGAGAAAGAUUCUUGGGCAGAGCAGCAGAAUCCCCAGGCUGAGCGGGAAGAGGAGAGAGCGGGAGCUGCCCCCACAUCCCAAGGAGAAGGAUGGAUGUGAGCAGGCGCUGGUGCUAAGCUGAAGGCCAAGGGCCCCUUUGCUCACCUGCCCAAGAGCACCUACCUCUGUGCUGGAUGAGUUUCAGCUCAAGUACUCUGAUAAGGACACACUCUCUGUAGCGCUACCGUAUUGGCGGGGAGCAGAUUGAUAAGGAUGGCUGGUCCCUGUGGUACGCCCAGUACUGCUUCCCAGAAGAGCUCACUCAGACUUUCAUGAGUUGCAACCUCAUCACUGGAAUGUUCCAGCGAUUGGACAAGCUGAGGAAGAAUGCCUUUGCCAGUGUUAUCCUCUUUGGAACCAACAAGAGCAACUCCAUUUGUGCAGUCUGAGUCUUCCAAGCCCAUGGGCCUGCCUUUCCACUGAGUUCAGAUGGGCAGGUGGACUAGAGUCAGAGACAUGGCGGAGACUGGAUCCUGGCAUCGAGGAGACCCAGAUGCUGGAGGGAGGGUACUUUUGCUGGGAAGGGGCCUCCCAGCCUGUGGCACAGCCUUCAAUCAGGGCAAGAUCUUCAGGCAAGUAUCUCUUGCAAUCACCUAG